AAAUCUCAAUUCACCUCAGAUCCCUGCAGAUCACCGUUGAUUGCACACCCUCAACUACCAUCAUCACCAAGAAGGUAGUGGAAACCAAGGUUUACUGCACCGAUCGAUAUCGAUGCAUACCAACCAAACUAUACUAUACCACAUACCGGAAACAUACCAACCAAACCAUAUUGUACCAACACCAAACUGGUUCAAGGGCCAACCGAUACUCGAUACACCGAACCAACCUCCCUACCGAGUAUACUAACACUGUAAUAGAAUAGUACUGGUACGGAGUCCAGUACUGAGACGGCGAAUCUUGGGUGGAACAAAGCCCCAUUUGAUGCCCUGGGUAGAGAGCCGGAAGAGGAAAGGAAUGCGAUAAGGCAAAUUGUAAAGAGAUCAAAGAAUCUUGACUCUUCUUUUCUUAAGCUGAGCUCACUCAAUUGGGUCAAGCCCGGCUCCCUCAUCGGGUUGGAUUCUGUCACGAGGCUAGGGCCACCAUACUAGGCAAGCCUAAGGAAUUUGGGUGACCAGGAACAUGCCUAGGCUAGUGGAGUAGUGGGCAAUCAGGCAAGCAACCAAAGGAUUUAGGGUAGAGGAAAGCAAGAGUCGUCCGGACAAGCCUCGCCUAGGAGGACCCAGGCUUGGCUAAGCGACCAGGCAAGCCUCAAUGACAACUAUGAUGAGGAAAAGAGUUGAAUCAUCUUAGUCAUUAGAUCAAGGAAAUGACAUAAUUACCUAAGGCUUUUGGGUAGAGGAGACCAAUGCUUGGCCCUGAUUCUCCACAACGAGUGGAUUACUUCUCAACUCUCUUCUUCGUCCGUCCUCUCUCACUGAUGGUGGCAAUUUCAAGAUCUAGAAAAGUCGGACCUCUUCCUUACCUCUCUCUCUCUCUCUCUCUCUCUCUCUCU
rnacentral:lncRNA from 1 species